AUCUCCUUUAAUCUUUUUGUUUUUGUCUGUUUUGGUAGAAACAGUGUCUCACUAUGUUGCCCAGGCUUGUCUUGAAUUCCUGACCUCAAGUGAUCCUCCCACAUCAGCCUUCCAAAGUGCUGGGAUUACAGGCAUGUACCACCUCACCUGGCCUCCUUGAAUCUUAAUUGCUAUCCAAGGUACCCAUUAUUCAGAUGAGGGUGCUGCCUUUAGGGGAGUUUUUGUGAAUCGAGGAGAAAACUUUAUCUCCUGACCAGCUGCUAACUCUGGAAUACUCUAAAGUUUUAUCAUUUUCUCUUGAUGCCUCCAGGUCUCUGAAUGCUCUAAUCUCCCUCCUGGCUGACAGUACGGGCUCCCCAGGUUUUCUCAUUAACCCCUCAGGACAGCUCUGUAAGGAUGGUAUGGUCAGUCCCAUUUCACAGAUGACUAACUCAGGCUCACAGAGUCUAAGUCAUCUCCCCAGGUAAGUGGCAGGAUUGGAAUGAGGUUCCAUCCUUCGCCCUCCCUAGAGGACCCUGGGCAGCUUCCCUUCUAGAAGAUGGGCUUCCAGGGCUUGAAAAAUGGCCAAAUUCCACUCCCCUGCUAUUGUGGCCCCACGGGUCCUCCAC
rnacentral:lncRNA from 10 species